GUCUACGGCCAUUGCCACCCUGAAUGCGCCCAAUCUCAUCUGAUCUUGGAUACUAAGCAGUGUUGGGCCUGGUUAGUACUUGGAUGGGAGAAAUAUAACUUUUAGAGUUGAGAGA
ensembl:rRNA 5S_rRNA 5S ribosomal RNA